rnacentral:rRNA from 1 species
UACGUAGGGGGCAAGCGUUGUCCGGAAUCAUUGGGCGUAAAGAGCGUGUAGGCGGCUUGGCAAGUCUGACGUGAAAGCCCGCGGCUCAACCGCGGAUUGUCGUUGGAAACUGCCUCGCUAGAGUCCGGAAGAGGAGAGCGGAAUUCCUGGUGUAGCGGUGGAAUGCGCAGAUAUCAGGAAGAACACCCGUGGCGAAAGCGGCUCUCUGGAACGGUACUGACGCUGAGGCGCGAAAGCUAGGGUAGCAAACGGG